UGGCGGAAGGGUGAGUAACGCGUGGGAAUCUGCCCUGGAUUGGGGGAUAACCUGGGGAAACCCGGGCUAAUACCGCAUAUUGCCGAGAGGUGAAAGAUUUAUCGAUCCAGGAGGAGCCUGCGUAUGAUUAGCUAGUUGGUAGGGUAAAGGCCUACCAAGGCAACGAUCAUUAGCUGGUCUGAGAAGAUGAUCAGCCACAAUGGAACUGAGACACGGUCCAUACUUCUACGGAAGGCAGCAGUAGGGAAUUUUGCGCAAUGGGCGAAAGCCUGACGCAGCAAUGCCGCGUGUAGGAAGAAGCAUCUUGGUGUGUAAACUACUGUCGGCGGAGACAAACACAAUGAUUGUACCCGCAAAGGAAGCAUCGGCUAACUACGUGCCAGCAGCCGCGGUAAGACGUAGGAUGCAAGCGUUGUCCGGAUUUAUUGGGCGUAAAGAGUUCGUAGGUGGUGAAUCAAGUCUAAUGUAAAAUCAUAGAGCUUAACUCUAUACCUGCGUUAGAAACUGAAUCACUAGAGUAAGGUAGGGGUCAGAAGAAUUCCUGGUGUAGCGGUGAAAUGCGUAGAUAUCAGGAGGAACACCUGUGGCAAAAGCGUCUGACUGGGCCUUUACUGACACUGAGGAACGAGAGCUAGGGGAGCAAAAGGGAUUAGAUACCCUCUGUAGUCCUAGCCGUAAACGAUGGAUACUAGUUGUUGCAGGUAUCGACCCCCGCAGUGACGUCGCUAACGCAUUAAGUAUCCCGCCUGGGAAGUACGUUCGCAAGAAUGAAACUCAAAGGAAUUGACGGGGACCCGCACAAGCGGUGGAACAUGUGGUUCAAUUCG
rnacentral:rRNA from 1 species